GCAAGUGGUGUAGUGGUUUGAGUACUGGACUGGAACUCUAGAGACCAGGGUUCGAAUCCUAGCUCGGGCA